GUGCACCAGUCGCGAAACCUCCGCAAUGCACGCAAGUGCGACGGGGGAACCCCAAGUGCCACUCUUAACGGGGUGGCUUUUCAGAAGUGUAAAAAGCUUCUGGAAUAAGGGCUGGGCAAGACCGGUGCCAGCCGCCGCGGUAACACCGGCAGCUCAAGUGGUAGCCGCUUUUAUUGGGCCUAAAGCGUCCGUAGCCGGUCUGAUAAGUCUCUGGUGAAAUCCCACAGCUUAACUGUGGGAAUUGCUGGAGAUACUAUCAUGACUCGAGGUCGGGAGAGGCUGGAGGUACUCCCAGGGUAGGGGUGAAAUCCUGUAAUCCUGGGAGGACCACCUGUGGCGAAGGCGUCCAGCUGGAACGAACCUGACGGUGAGGGACGAAAGCCAGGGGCGCGAACCGGAUUAGAUACCCAAGUAGUCC
rnacentral:rRNA from 1 species